rnacentral:rRNA from 1 species
UAGGGAAUAUUGGUAAUGGGCGAAAGCCUGAACCAGCAACGCCGCGUGUGCGAUGAAGGCCUUCGGGUUGUAAAGCACUUUUUGAGGGGAUGAGGAAGGACAGUACCCUCAGAAUAAGUCUCGGCUAACUACGUGCCAGCAGCCGCGGUAACACGUAGGAGACCAGCGUUAUCCGGAUUUACUGGGCGUAAAGCGCGUGCAGGUGGCUCGGAAAGUUCGAUGUGAAAGCUCCCGGCUUAACUGGGAGAGGUCGUUGAAUACUUUCGG